CAUCAAGUUCUCUCCUUCCUCACAUAUCUCCGAAAAAGGAUGAAAUAAACAGAACAUAGAGCAAAAAUAACCAAAUAAAUGAUCAAUGUGGAUAUAGAUCAUACCUUCUAAUAAAUCAGAGAGGAGCUGAGGGAGCCAUCCGCCCGCAUGCACAAGAAAGAGAAAGAGGAGCGGGACUUAUGGCGGCUAGAGAACUCGAGGUAGCGAGAGAGGAGGAAAGGGAGGUCAGAGGUCUCCGGAUAGAGAGAGAGGGGAAGGAGGGAGGUUGCCUGCAUGAGAAAGAGAAAGAGGAGUGAGACUCGGGGCGACUGGAGAACUCGAGACAAUGAGGAGAUGAGGGAGGUUGGAGGUCUCGGGUGCUCUUGGGUCUUAGAGAUCAUAUAAGUGAUCGUCCUACCAUAGAGCAACCC
rnacentral:lncRNA from 1 species